UUCCAUUUGAAGGUAUGGCCAGAUAUGUUGAUACCAUAGUUUCUGGUCAAAAUUUUUUUGAGCUUGAUUUUAUUGAUACUCUACCAUCAAAAUAUAGCGAAAGAAGUUGUGCAGUUGGACGUUGUCUUCUAUCUUUAUGAAGAAGUCUAACAACAGCUUCCUGCAGAGGUACGGGGACCCGUGGCAAAAUUCCUCGCACUUGUUCUUCUAGCUGAGAGAAAUAUCCGUAAUAAUUCAGACUGGACGAGCUUGGACGUUUUGUUGAGUUGUCGUAGAGGACUGGGCAUUGGCAAUUGACUUGGCUUCUUGAAAAGCAAGA
rnacentral:lncRNA from 1 species